ensembl:processed_transcript RIKEN cDNA 2610307P16 gene
GCAGGUGACACUUUAUCGUAGAUAGAAUCCAGAUUGAAGUAAACAGAUGCAUCUGGAGAAUCUCUGUAAUGGAGGCUGUGAAACAUGGAAGCCCUCUCCAGGAUGCAGCAGGUAGCUGAGGAGAAAACGAAGAAUGGACAGCCCAGAGCUUAGAGCUUCCUCCCAUGCUCAGGAUUUACCACCAAUGCCAUUACAUCAGCCUCUUCUUGUAUGCCUCUGGAAACCACAUGUGUCCUCUGUUUGUAAUGGUUUGGCUAUGGUUGCUGGCCCCUCUUGGACAUUGUUUUCAGAACUUAAAGAAACAUUGCUUUAAAGAUUUAUUAGAACAUAUUUAAAAUAAAACCAUCUUCUCAUUUAGUAU